AACUGAGCUAGCGGCGGACGGGUGAGUAAUGCUUAGGAAUCUGCCUAUUAGUGGGGGACAACAUUCCGAAAGGGAUGCUAAUACCGCAUACGUCCUACGGGAGAAAGCAGGGGCUCUUUAUGACCUUGCGCUAAUAGAUGAGCCUAAGUCGGAUUAGCUAGUUGGUGGGGUAAAGGCCUACCAAGGCGACGAUCUGUAGCGGGUCUGAGAGGAUGAUCCGCCACACUGGGACUGAGACACGGCCCAGACUCCUACGGGAGGCAGCAGUGGGGAAUAUUGGACAAUGGGGGGAACCCUGAUCCAGCCAUGCCGCGUGUGUGAAGAAGGCCUUUUGGUUGUAAAGCACUUUAAGUGGGGAGGAGGCUUACCUGGUUAAUACCUGGGCUAAGUGGACGUUACCCACAGAAUAAGCACCGGCUAACUCUGUGCCAGCAGCCGCGGUAAUACAGAGGGUGCGAGCGUUAAUCGGAUUUACUGGGCGUAAAGCGCGCGUAGGUGGUUAAUUAAGUCAAAUGUGAAAUCCCCGAGCUUAACUUGGGAAUUGCAUUCGAUACUGGUUAGCUAGAGUAUGGGAGAGGAUGGUAGAAUUCCAGGUGUAGCGGUGAAAUGCGUAGAGAUCUGGAGGAAUACCGAUGGCGAAGGCAGCCAUCUGGCCUAAUACUGACACUGAGGUGCGAAAGCAUGGGGAGCAAACAGGAUUAGAUACCCUGGUAGUCCAUGCCGUAAACGAUGUCUACUAGCCGUUGGGGGAUUUGAUCCUUUAGUGGCGCAGCUAACGCGAUAAGUAGACC
rnacentral:rRNA from 1 species